rnacentral:lncRNA from 1 species
UUGCAAUGGUUUAAUGUAUACAACUUGAAGUGAUCUUAGUGUUUUUUCAUUAAUACUGUUAUAAUUCAUGUAAAAAGAAAGCUUGUGGUCAUUGAAUGUGAUUAAUGUUGUUGAUAUUUGUUUCUUCCCUUUGAUGCACUACUCUGAGCAUAGUUUCAAGUGUGGCUUCCCUUUGCAGUUCCAGUUACAAUUUGCAUGAAUGUAUGCAAGUGAUGGUCGUUUUGGUCACAAUUAUGAUCAUAUCAAACCCUUUUUUUUCUUUUUUUCUAUUUACAUUAAUCAUAAUUGAUUAUCAUUUUGUAUUUUGUGCGUUUAGUUUCAAAAUCUAUCAGCUUUGAGCUUCUUGAAAUUCUGCUUGAAUGCAACACCAAGUUUUUUAUUUGUUUUCUGUUACAUCCUUUAUGUUGUUUGGAUAAUUUUACAACAAGACCUUAUCAAAAUUGUGUUUGACUGAAUUUUGUGCACAGGCUCGAUGAUGCCUGUGGGUCAAUUCCAAUUAGUAUGCAUAAUAGCUCCAUGUGCACUAAAAUGUUGUUAUUAACAAUUUGGGUCUUACAGCAAUAAUGAUCAACAUGUGCAAAGGAUAUUUAUAUUACGGUUAAUUUUUUCCAAACGGGAUAAAUUAUGCAAUGAGAGAGUAGAUUUGGGAUAGUAGAUUUGGUGUUUCAAUUAAAAUCUCGAAUAGGGGCUUAACUCAUGUUAUUUUUCAUAUUCUCAAAUUUUAUUCAUUAUUAUCAACAUCGUUUUUAAAUUUCAAUUCUUUACUACAGAAGCCUUGUUGGAUUUUGGCACACAGGUCAAAGUAUCUGGGCUUGGUUCAUUUCGGGUAAGUAUGAGUUUAAUAUUUUUAAAAUUUGUAUAUAUAAACAUCAUCCAACCAUAUUUUUUAAUCUUUUUUGUGUUCAACUCUGCAAACAAAUUAUUUCCUCAAAAUUUUGUCAUGCCAUUGUGAUAAAGUUUAAACAUUUACAUGGUAUUAUCUAUGAGUAUCACAUCAGUGACAAUGGUUGGACGUCUCUUUUUGUGGUUAUUGAACUUUAUAUAUGAAAUUGGUAAAAUACUAUUAAAAAUGAAACUAAGUUUCGUAACAAUGAUGCCAAAGUAUUGCAGAAAUUGACAGAAUGCUAUGUGCAACCGAUUGAUGCCGGUAAAUUUGAACAUAAUUUCAAUUUCUGGUGGGUUGUCGAUUAUGGUUUCCAGAGGUGCUCUUAACUUACUGCGACAAAAUGUAAUAUUUAAGAAUAAAAUGAAUUACAAGUUACUGUUUAACAACACUGUACUAAAUGAACUAAUGUUAUUAUAAUCUUCUUGGUACAGUUUAGAACAUGUAGCUUGUUAGCAAAUUGUUCUCCUCAAACAGAUGGCAGGAUUUUUUCCAUCUUAAAAGUUGAAUAGUUAAUUAUACUUAGUAACUAAAACCAUUUAUGUAAAUUUGGAAUCACUAGAUUAAUCAUACAAUUGUUCUGUUGCUUCC